rnacentral:rRNA from 1 species
CAGCCGCCACGGUAAUACGGAGGGUGCAAGCGUUAAUCGGAAUUACUGGGCGUAAAGCGCACGCAGGCGGUUUGUUAAGUCAGAUGUGAAAUCCCCGAGCUUAACUUGGGAACUGCGUUUGAAACUGGCAAGCUAGAGUCUUGUAGAGGGGGGUAGAAUUCCAGGUGUAGCGGUGAAAUGCGUAGAGAUCUGGAGGAAUACCGGUGGCGAAGGCGGCCCCCUGGACAAAGACUGACGCUCAGGUGCGAAAGCGUGGGGAGCAAACAGGAUUAGAUACCCCUGUAGUCCCUGUCUCUUAUAC